AGCAGGGCUAGUUUACCCGAGCAUGGAGACCCGCAGGGCACUUCGGACCCUGAUCUGUAGCCAGCACAAGCUAAUGCCAAAGACACAUGAGUUUCCCCAGUCCAAGUGACGGCAGGCCGUGGGUCAGCUGGGCAAGCUGCAGUGGGCUACCUGCCUUAGAGCAGAAGUCAGAGCUCACAGAAUCUGCCCUCGUGCACGGUCACCCGGACGGGGCGACUCGGAAGAUGAGACUCCAGGCCAGGUGGGUCAGCUCUCAGAAGCAAAGUGCCCAGUCUUAUCUAGCCACAGAGCUGCUGGGAGCAUUCCUGAGAGGACCCGGGCUCCGAGCCACUUCUGAUCACUGGCACUGUUACAGGCCGGUGCUGCUCUCCACGUGCCUGACGGGAAAUGCAAGUGAGCGUGUGCAGCCAACUGCCCACCUCACCUGCACCCCAGCCUGGCAGUCUAGGCACAGACUGGCCUCCCAGCCACGCUCUUGUGCAACAAUCAACUUGAGAUUUCCCAAACAUCUGGACAGAGCGUUUCGGGAACUCCAAGUACUGGAGACUCAUUCUUACUAAGAGGGUGGGAAUGAAAUCUAACUGUGGGGUUUAGAAGUGCGGCCUUUUGGGUAAAGAGAGCUGGGUAUAGUGGCUUUUGCCUGUAAUCCCUGCUACUUGGGAGGCUGAAGGAUUAUCAGUGCCAGGCUAGCCUGGGCUACACAGCAAGACACUGUCCACAGGCUGGCAGGCAGGGAGGAAGGGACAUAGAUUAGGCUAUGACUGAUUAGAGGGACAGACCACACACAAGAAUUCAUACACAUGCACCCUGUCCGUCCCACCAUGACGGUUCUGCUGCCUGGGGGCACUAUCAGCAAGUCAGCUGCUGCUCAGAUGUCAGCGACAAGACUACCCUUGUCUCUUCACACACCACCCUCAGGUGUUGUCUGUAAAAACAACUAACGUAAGUCUAAAGCUGUUUCAGUUAAUACAUUUAGGAUUCAGUUCCCGGUUGCCCAAUAGCCACAUGUGACCGGUGGCCGCCACACUCAACAGAGCAUGUAGAGGCAACGGAUGCACACAGGAGCCCACUGCUUUGUGCCUUCAGGCCAGCACCUGAGGAAAUCUCAGGCUGAUGUGUGGAGCAGGACAUAGCGGCUCACUUGGGCUACCAGUCGGAUGCUCUUUCCUCUAGACACGGUGCCACACCGCCGCCCUGUCUCUGCUCCAGAAGCUAAGAUGGCAGAACUGUGGAUACCAACUUCUCAGCUGUAAAUCCUCCACACCAGGUCUACAGCUGCUUUCAGGAUGAGCAAACAGAACACCAGGGUAGUGUCCCCACGGCCCCCAACACGACUGUCGGAUUUCCUCGCCAUUGGCUUUUCCCAAGCUUCACAACUAGAAUGUCAAGGCGAACACUCAGAGCAUUGGUCUCCAUGGUGCCUGCCCAUUCCCACAGAACCAUUCCGAGGCGGGAGUGUUGGCGUGGAACGCUCUCCAGCUCUGAAGGCAUCAAGCCACAGUGAGAAUGAACUGGCUCAUGCCUUGCCGCGCCAGCUCACAUCAAUACAGAUAAGAGUGCCUUACAGGAAUGAGCCCCUGACCUUGGGUGUGUUCAUCUCCAAGUACCAAAAAUAAAUCUGGCUUAGUUGAUAGCAAAAAUUAAAAAAAAGAAAAGAAUGAAGAAAUUAUUUUAUUUAAAAUGUUUAAAUCAUAGGUAAGUUUGAGAUGCUUACAUCUAUUUAUGAGCUUUUAAAUUUUCACUUCUCUUAAUGACUUUGACCUGUUUUCCAUUAGUAUCUUUUUAUAUAUUUUUAUUUUAUGUCGAUUGGUGUUUUGUCUGCAUGUUUAUCUGUGGGUGUCAGAUCUUUGAGUUACAGACAAUUGUGAGCUGCCAUGUGGGAGCUGGGAAUUGAAGUCAGGUCCUCUGGAAGAGCAGUCAGUGCUCUUAACUGAUGAGCCAUCUCUCAUUAGUAUCUUUUCUCUCUCAGGAUAUUACACCACUAGGAACUCUUGAAUCUGUGUUCUAAUAAUUCACAGUGCAUGAGGAACCCCUUUAAAGGAAGCACACCCAUAUCUGUGAACAACUUUCUUAAUACUGACUGAGACACUCCACCCUCAACUCUGAACAGCAGGACUCGGGCCUGUAAGCUAUGGAAGGUUGGCUGCCCCCACCUUCCAUAGCUUCUAUUCACACAGGCACACAGACCCGUGGGGAGUGCUCGAAGCAAGGACCUCCAGGUGCAGAGGCACCCAGGCGGUGCUGAGCUGCAUGCCAGCUUUCCUCCUGAGUCAGACGACGAGGACCCGACUAGCAGCAGAAAGAGCCAAGCACUCAGCCCCAGUACCUCAACACCCUGUGCUCUGGGUUCUCUCAUCAAUGGGAGUCUGCUUGGGUCUCUUCCUGGGCAUCAGAGUUUAAAACAUAUUUCAAAAGAAAAAGGAAACAGGAUGAACACGAGGGAGGACAUUCUUCACCACCCCCUCCCAGUGCUUCCCUGUGGACAAAGCCUCCUUUCUGUGGCCCUCAAAGGGGCACACAGUGAGGGCGCUUCCCUUCCCAGGCACUGCUUAGCCACAGUUGUGUCCACACAGGCUGCCUUUGUCCAGCCAGUGGAAGGAAAGACAUGGACUCCUAGCCAGGAAGCCCCCAUCUCAGCCCAAGGCUCCAGAAACCUCCUACCCAAUAAAGAAAAGACCCUUAGGGAAGGGCUGGGCUCUUCUCUCUUCAUUGCUCCUUGACAAGAGGAAAUUAAUCUAGCCAGCAGCUUCUGCCUUGAGGCCACCAGAAUGAUAGACACGCUGUCUUUUACCUCAUCAAAAGGGAAGACAAGAGAGGCUCAAAGGAGUUUCACAGAAUCAAGGAACUUUCAUCAAGAAAAGGAAAGCUGACAACGGGCCCAUUAUCUCCAAGUGGGGAGGAGAUGAUGGCAGAAACCCUCUGAGUACCCCUCCUCACCCCUAUUUUUCCUUUCCCGCUUUCUCCCUCCCCUCCUCCCCAAGUCCUCUGAAUCCCUUCUCUCAUAGUCCUCCGGCUUCCCCUCCUCCACCACUGCCCAUAGGACUGGGCACAGGCCUCACACAGCCUCACUGGGGACCUGCAGAGAAACCACCAAACCUUCCUUGAGUCAUUUCCCGACAUCUACUGCUGCUCCACCCCAUCCCAGCUGCCUGCUGCUUGUUGCGAGCACCUCGUGACAAGUGACACUGGUCAUGAGAAAACUGUCAAGCCGGGUCCCCCGGGUCCCGUCUAGAGCAAGUUCCAAGGCCUCUUUCCCAACACCAGGACCGGGAUGGGGACCUGAGGGGAGUGGCAGGGCUCUGUGGAAAAUAUAAUCGAAUUGGGGCGGGUCUCUGUGGGCCUGGUCUUUGUGCCCCAGUGUCUGAGGAGACACAGACAAGGCCAGUCUCCAGGAGGGCCUAGGGCAGAAGCCAUAUGACUGUUAGUCUCUAAGAUAGCUGGAAGCUCCAUGGGCUGAAAACAGCUCUCUAUGAAGACUCUCCAGCCUGUUGCUCAAUGACUGAACAUUCAGCUAUAACAUGGGCACUGGGUUAAUCACUAAUUAAAAGCUAGAUUAAACUUUCAUUAAAGCCAACACUAUAUCAAA